UCCGGUUGAUCCUGGCAGAGGCCACUGCUAUCGGAGUUCGAUUAAGCCAUGCGAGUCGAGAGGUGAAAGACCUCGGCAUACUGCUCAGUAACACGUGGACAAUCUAACCUACGGAGGGGGAUAACCCCGGGAAACUGGGGAUAAUACCCCAUAGACUAUGGAUGCUGGAAUGCUUUGUAGUCGAAAGGUCCGCCGCCGUAGGAUGGGUCUGCGGCCGAUUAGGUUGUUGUUGGGGUAACGGCCCAACAAGCCUGUAAUCGGUACGGGUUGUGGGAGCAAGAGCCCGGAGAUGGAUUCUGAGACACGAAUCCAGGCCCUACGGGGCGCAGCAGGCGCGAAAACUUUACAAUGCGGGAAACCGUGAUAGGGGAACUCCGAGUGCCCGUUAAAUCGGGCUGUCCAUCUGUUUAAAUAACAGGUGAAGAAAGGGCCGGGCAAGACCGGUGCCAGCCGCCGCGGUAAUACCGGCGGCUCGAGUGGUGGCCACUAUUACUGGGCUUAAAGCGUUCGUAGCUGGUUUGUUAAGUCUCUGGGGAAAUCUUCCGGCUUAACCGGAAGGCGUCUCAGGGAUACUGGCAGACUAGGGACCGGGAGAGGUGAGGGGUACUCCAGGGGUAGGAGUGAAAUCCUGUAAUCCUUGGGGGACCACCUGUGGCGAAGGCGCCUCACCAGAACGGCUCCGACAGUGAGGGACGAAAGCUGGGGGAGCAAACCGGAUUAGAUACCCGGGUAGUCCCAGCUGUAAACGAUGCGCGUUAGGUGUAUCGGUGACCACGAGUCACCGAGGUGCCGAAGAGAAAUCGUGAAACGUGCCGCCUGGGAAGUACGGUCGCAAGGCUGAAACUUAAAGGAAUUGGCGGGGGAGCACCACAACGGGUGGAGCCUGCGGUUUAAUCGGACUCAACGCCGGGAAACUCACCAGUUAAGACAGCUGAAUGAUAGUCGGGCUGAAGACUCUACUUGACUAGCUGAGAGGAGGUGCAUGGCCGUCGUCAGUUCGUACUGUGAAGCAUCCUGUUAAGUCAGGCAACGAGCGAGACCCA
rnacentral:rRNA from 1 species